UACGUAGGGUGCAAGCGUUGUCCGGAUUUAUUGGGCGUAAAGAGCGUGUAGGCGGUUUGGUAGGUCCGUUGUGAAAACUCGAGGCUCAACCUCGAGACGCCGAUGGAAACCAUCAGACUAGAGUCCGGAAGAGGAGAGUGGAAUUCCUGGUGUAGCGGUGAAAUGCGCAGAUAUCAGGAAGAACACCCGUGGCGAAGGCGGCUCUCUGGGACGGUACUGACGCUGAUGCGCGAAAGCGUGGGGAGCGAACAGG
rnacentral:rRNA from 1 species